GGUGGCUCAGUGGUAGAGUACUUGCCUUCUCUGCAUGAGGCCCUGGGUUCGAUUCCUAGCACCA
rnacentral:tRNA from 1 species